CCCAACUUCCAGUUAUAUUGGGCCACUGAGCAGUUUCCUGAAUAGCCCAGCUGUUUGCUGACCUCGGGUUUUUAACCAUGUUGCAUUGGACAGCACUGUUAACUAUUUAGUUGGCAAAAAAUAACAUGAAUAGACUGAGGGAGGCUGAGAGCAGAGCAAAUUGAUGGCUAAACUGCUAGGGACAGCUCUGUCUGCUUUUCCAUGCUGAAUGGUGAGUGCUGCCCUGCAGGAUGCAGGAAACAUGGCCACAACUACUCCUCCUCACCUUUUGCGUUCACUUUGCUUAGAAUCCCCCAGCAUACUUCAACAUGCCACUUUUUCCAACAACUUCUCCCUUCAUACCCAGAUUGGUGCUGAAUUUCUAACUUCUUCAAAAUUCCAUAGCAUUUCCCUCCAUCACUCCCAUGUAUCUUCACUUACAGGAAUUUAUACACACAUCAGCUUCCCUUGCAGAAUUUUUUGACAUUGGGGGCUACAUAUCUUUGAAUCUCCCAUAGGCCAGUGGAUCAGUUUAUAGAUUUCAGAGAAAAAUCAAAUGGAAUCUAAUAGCUAAAGCAAAGAGAGCUUGUCUACAUUUACACUGCCAGCGUGAGUCUUGAUGCACAAACUGGGAAUCAGAUUGCCAGAUGAUGCCACACUCUUGCAGAUAGACGGCUUGCUUUCUCUGUGGACUUAAAAUAAGUCAAGCGUGAGGGCACUCCUCUAAAUCACUGGUACAGGGAUGCGUCUAUACUGCAACUCUUGGCUGCAAUAUAUUACAGCAGUAACAUAUCACAUAUUACUGCUAAGGAAGUGUUCACUAGUGUAUGCUGAAUAAAUGAAUGAAUCAUGAUCAAUAUUACUGGAUAAGAGUUUUCACUUAGAUGACAUCCUAUGUUCCAGCUAUAUCUCCAGACAUGAUGCUUGUUGAAUUGAAAUGAAAUGCUUUCAUAGUGGUAAUAAUAAUCUCUUUACUUUGUAGUUGAAAAUUACAAAAUAUGUAUGCAUGCCCGACUUCAGUUGGUUUUUCUCUACAAUAUGUUGUUUAAUCUCUGCUACCUUUUUGAUUUGAGGCUUCAGGAUAUUAGAGCUAUAAGCAACAUGAGAGAUGCUCUGAGGUCCGGAGAGGUUGAAUGGUUGGUUUGCUUACAGUCAAGUUAAGUUUCCUUUUAAAACUGAUAAUUUCUCGAAACUAUGUCCUUCUUCGUAUGAUCUCCCAUGAACCUGAUGGGUUUCCUGCCCUCUGGUUCUUUUCAGUAUAUUGACUGUGGUCAAAAUAGUGUUGGCAAUGAACUUUCUAUCAUUGGAGGUGUAUGAACUGAUAAUGAGUUGGCUUUUGAAUAAGGAUGUUGUACCUACAACAACAGCUGAGACAUCUAAUGAGUAUUGGUCUAGAUGAUCUUUCAGGUAAUGUAACCUCUGGCCUUACAAAAACUAUGCCACCCAUAGACUGCAUAGGGAUCAGGUAGAGUUUUAGCCACAAAGCUUUCAAGACUUCUAUCAACCAAAUCGUUUCUGAAUAUAGCAACCUAGUUUCUCACCAUAACUGGUAGGAGCCAAGAUCAUCAUCCUUCAAGACGGAAACACUACCAAAAAUAUACAGAUUUUCAACACUGAUUCUCAAUACCUUGUGGAAACUUCCCAAGACCUUUUGUCCCAAUCCUAUUUAUUCUUCACAUCUAGCUCAACUCUUAUCUACUCUGAGUAUCCUUUCUCAAUCCUCUAAAUUAGAAUGAAUCCUUCCCUCCCAUAUUUCCCCAUAGGAAAUUGUAACUCUCCUAUAAAACUUAUCAAAGUCUGCCUUAUAUUAUGCAUCUUUUCCCAUUUCAUUGAGCAAUCAGCACUGAUCUAUUUGUAUAUAAUUUAUUAUCAUUAUUAACCAUGUACCAAGCCAAGUGUGACCAAGAGCAGAUGCUGAUGCCAGGGGAAGACAAGAGGGAAUAAAAGAUACAGACUUAUAUUAACUGCAGAAGAGGGUGGGAAAUAGUUGAAUUAAGGUUGAACCAGAAGGAAAGACAAAGAUGCCAUCUGGUAAUCAUAGAUCCUUGUAUGUAGCCUGAGGCUGAUUUAUUUCUGCCUGGCAGCAGGAGGGGAGUUGACGGAGAUCUAUAUUCCCUUGAAAACUACGUGUCUUUAGUCUUCCUUGGUGUGCUGUAUUUUGGAGAAAGUUGCCUGGUCUUUGGAGAAGGUCAAAUUGCACAAGUCAGACCGGAAAGUCCACCAACCCUCCGAGUCAAGUUCUUGGCCCGAGAGUUUAUAUUUAAUUACAUAUUGUCACCAGUCAUCUGCUGUUCCAAGAACACAGAACACUGCUUCCAAAGCAGAUAUCUUUUUUGGACCUCCACUUCCCAAAUCUUGUCCGUUGGAGUCAAAAGAGCUCCUGGCAGUGUAACUGACAACUGCACAUCUGUGAAUGGCACGAGUCACUCAGCUCCCAGAAAGAAGUGGAAGGCUUCUGUUUCCCUGCCUGCCCUUGGUGGAAAGAGAUGGAUGAGGCGAGGUCGUCACAAAGCCCCUUAUACACCGUUUGCAUAUGGCUGGGCGUCCACAGGGUAGAGACGGCUCUGUCUGUGCGAAUCCCAAACUCUUUUCUGCUCAUCCAAAGCUGUGCCCGAUUCCCUUGAAGCCCACUGAAUGACACCCACACAAAGGCCUGUCUGCUCCGAGGAGCUCCUCCCUGUUGCUUUCCUUCACAUCUCAAUAAACCCUUCUCAUCUUAUAUUUAUCAAAUGCAAUCACAAAGGGACCACUUAAUUAACAGGCUGCCAUUGUAUGGAGGAUGAUUUGGAAACUUAAAGGCAUUUGAGAAACCUCAUACUGUUCCAGACGACAAAAACAGUGGGAUGCACCAUCUGGGAGGGAGCUUCCUCCGAAACAGAUGCCAGUGUUUCCGUGAUAAAGAACCUAAUAUUAUAACAUCAUAGUAUGUUGUGCCAUUUGGUGAGGAGAGGCAGUCCUCCUCUGAGCGAAUGUUCUCAGGUUUCGCCAAAUCAUUCAGCACCAAAAUAUUUGCUCUGGCAAAGGGCGCUGGUUUAUGCUUCUCUUGGGUCUAUUUCCCCUAUGGAGCCCUUGCAGGGCUGGACACAUUGAAGGAGCUCAAAUAAAAUUUGUGGAGGAAACUGUUGGCUGGGAGGGUGGCAUAUGGUCAGAGUGUGGUCACUACAUGCUAUGAAGGAAACAGCAGGUGAAUUCAGUUCCAAGGGCUUAUUUCAAAACUAAUGGAUUUUUGACAUAUAGGCUUGAACUUUGCUUCAAAACAAAAUGCUGGACUUGGCCUUCUAUCAUUCUGCCUUUCCUAACCCUUAUCUCCAACUACUUCAUUGUUUAGUU
rnacentral:lncRNA from 1 species